rnacentral:rRNA from 1 species
AGAUAUUUGAGAGGAGUUGACCUUAGUACGAGAGGACCGGGUCGAGCGUACCUCCGGUGCAUCAGUUGUCCUGCCAAGGGCAUAGCUGAGUAGCCGCGUACGAAUGUGAUAAACGCUGAAAGCAUCUAAGCGUGAAACACACCUCAAGAUUAGAUAUCUCCAACAUUAAGUUGAUAAGGUCACUUGUAGACUACAAGUUGAUAGGUCGGAGGUGUAAGUACAGUAAUGUAUUCAGCUGACCGAUACUAAUAGACCGAACGCUUGAACUA